rnacentral:rRNA from 1 species
GACGAACGCUGGCGGCGUGCUUAACACAUGCAAGUCGAACGGAAAGGCCCUGCUUUUGUGGGGUGCUCGAGUGGCGAACGGGUGAGUAACACGUGAGUAAACUGCCCUUGACUUUGGGAUAACUUCAGGAAACUGGGGCUAAUACCGGAUAGGAGCUCCUGCUGCAUGGUGGGGGUUGGAAAGUUUCGGCGGUUGGGGAUGGACUCGCGGCUUAUCAGCUUGUUGGUGGGGUAGUGGCUUACCAAGGCUUUGACGGGUAGCCGGCCUGAGAGGGUGACCGGCCACAUUGGGACUGAGAUACGGCCCAGACUCCUACGGGAGGCAGCAGUGGGGAAUAUUGCACAAUGGGCGGAAGCGUGAUGCAGCAACGCCGCGUGCGGGAUGACGGCCUUCGGGUUGUAAACCGCUUUCGCCUGUGACGAAGCGUGAGUGACGGUAAUGGGUAAAGAAGCACCGGCUAACUACGUG